UAGGGAAUCUUCCGCAAUGGGCGAAAGCCUGACGGAGCAACGCCGCGUGAGUGAUGAAGGUCUUCGGAUCGUAAAACUCUGUUAUUAGGGAAGAACAAAUGUGUAAGUAACUAUGCACGUCUUGACGGUACCUAAUCAGAAAGCCACGGCUAACUACGUGCCAGCAGCCGCGGUAAUACGUAGGUGGCAAGCGUUAUCCGGAAUUAUUGGGCGUAAAGCGCGCGUAGGCGGUUUUUUAAGUCUGAUGUGAAAGCCCACGGCUCAACCGUGGAGGGUCAUGGGAAACUGGAAAACUUGAGUGCAGAAGAGGAAAGUGGAAUUCCAUGUGUAGCGGUGAAAUGCGCAGAGAUAUGGAGGAACACCAGUGGCGAAGGCGACUUUCUGGUCUGUAACUGACGCUGAUGUGCGAAAGCGUGGGGAUCAAACAGG
rnacentral:rRNA from 1 species